GGGUGCGUAGCUCAGUUGGUAGAGCAACUGACUCUUAAUCAGUGGGUCAAGGGUUCGAAUCCCUUCGCGCCCACCA
rnacentral:tRNA from 1 species